rnacentral:tRNA from 1 species
GGGCUCAUAGCUCAGCUGGCUAGAGCGCACGCCUGAUAAGCGUGAGGUCGGAAGUUCAAGUCUUCCUGGGCCCA